GUGCUUGCCUUGGCAGCACAUAUACUAAAAUUGGAAUGAUACCGAGAAGAUUAGCAUGGCCCCUGCGCAAAGUAUGGUAUUUAUUUAACGACAAAUUUGAUAUGCCCAA
rnacentral:snRNA from 1 species